rnacentral:lncRNA from 1 species
AUGCCGAAGGAUCAGAGAGAAGAAAAGGGAAUGGAGUUUUCUGGGACAGUGUUGGAGACAGGCACAGAUGUCAGCACAGUUAAAGAGGACCUGUGGCAGAUUCCAGAAAAGGUCUCCCUACAAGAAGCUGCUGUCCUCCCUAUAACUUGUGGCACUGCAAUUUUUGCUCUUGAGCAUCGGGCCCAUUCCCAGCCUGGCCUGGCAUGGGAGGGCAGGAUUGUGGUGGUGGGAUUUGCUGGAGGAAACAUUGCUUCUGUACCAGCCAACCGUCUGCUCCUGAAGAAUGUCUCUGCCAUGGGCCUGUACUGUGACUGA